rnacentral:ncRNA from 1 species
UAUAUUUACAAUUGAAUGCUAGUAAAUAAUGUGAUAUUUAUUUCAGAAUCCACGAAAGGCUCACUGCACUAGCUAUAAAGUAUUCAAUGUUGACUUAUUCAUCGUGGAUACUGUGCAUAUUUCAAAGCCAAAAAAUCACCCGAGUUCGAACUUGAGGAAUGAGCACAUCCACUGCAAAGAAAGAAAUGGUGUGGUUUGUGGGUUUGUAAGCGAGCCCCUAAAGUGAUGUUGUAUAGCUAGAGCAAAUCGUGCGGUUUUGCACGACGAUGGAUCUCACAAGUGUCUACUUUAUCAAUCCUCAGUAAUGCUUCGUGUCUACAAUGAUUCUGACGAGUAACGAUAAAUAAAGGCUGAACCUCGGUGAGAAACGGCUACCACACCUGAAAAAGGCGCAAAGUACUCACUCUCGACAUGAGGAGGUAGUACGAUAAAUAAUGAUCGUGCUGUUCGAGGCAAGCUAUCAGAUUAGGUACAGUUUAAACCCGCUAAAGAAAGGCAAGACUGAUGCCAGCAGCCGCGAUAAUUCCAGCUUUCUA